CUUGUUCUCACAGAAUUUCUUUGCUUUUUAACUUCUAGAUGGGUUAUUCAGGGUUAUUUCAGGCCACUUUGGAAAUUCACCCAGGAUGUUUCAGUUGGUGCAGAUUUCAGAUACAUCAUUGCUUCAGGUAGAAGCUAAAACUCAAAAAGUGUCAAAUGGGGCUAUUAUGGCAUUAUUCCCAGAAGAGAGACAGAGUUCCUGCUCCCAACUUGCCAGUCUCUGGUAGACACUGAAUACCCAGCUAAGAUGCAUCAUGAAUAUUUGACCAGAACUGCUCUUUCAUCCAAGACAUGAAGUUGGGUUUGCUCAAAAGUGCUCCAUGGAGUGGCAAUGGUGCAUAAGACACGGGACUUAAGAAGUCAUUGAAGGCGUGCAUACUGUGUGUCUCCAGUUAUCUUGGCAUCUACUUCUGCUCUAAUAUUUUACCUUCAAUCCACAUCUUGUCUCACAGGGAGUUCCCUUUGAUCAGUUGACUGAAAAGGUAAAAAUUCAAGUGUGGUUUAUUGUGGUUUUGUACAAAAGCGGGCACUAGCUGAAUUGGACUACUGCAGUCUUGUAUUACAUGUUGGAGGUGGCCCAGAAGGAUUUUGGGGAAGGAAACCCUUCCAAUAGGAAAAAUUACAAGCAGUGCAUCUGAAUAUUUACUUUGCUUGGAAGGAGAAAGGGACAGAGAUAUAAAUCUUGAGGAAUUAAUAGAUAGUGGCUAAUGGCUUGGCCAGAAGUUCAGGAAGAAUAUUGAAGGACUGAUGAAAUGUAGAUCUGGGAAAGAAUUUGUGGAUAGAUUCCUUAGAAUAGUCAAGGAUGUGAAGUUCCCCCAUUACAGAAGAGGAUCUCAGUGAUCAAUGAUCAGGAUGACUCAUUGUCAGUCAGCUUCUCCUCACCAACUCCAGAGCUGGCUCACUGGGGUCAUGAACAAAAUGGCAGCAAUGAAAUUUCCAUGAUUUUAGUAACAUGGGCUUCCCCUCACCAAGAGCGAUCUGAUUACUGCCAAUUUAGUUAUUUAACCUGGACAUCCUAUUAAUGUCAAAUUAGUAACAUUUUAAGAGAGAAACAGAUAUUGAUGGAACUCUGGGGAGACAGUGUGGCCUAUACUAAUCCCUCAGAAUAGUAUCUCUCCCCAGAGGGACUAACCAACUGCCCAUGAGGAAGUUGAUUAUUUUGGAUGCCUUCCCUCUUGGAAGGGACAGUGAUUUAUUAUCACUAGAAUUGGCUCAUUCUUUAUUUGAUUUGCUUUCUUCACCCACAGUUCUUCUGCAAACACUGCCAGCACCAUACACAAAUUUUCUAUGUUUUUCGUCAUCAAGUGUCUUAUACAACAUUCUUUAUGAUAAAGAGUGUUUUGGCAAAAGAAGAGUAGCAAUGGGCUUGUGUGUAUACUAUUCACUGGUUUUACCCUGAAUUCCUUCAUCCUUGGCCUAUCGAAUACCCGCCAAAAGUGAAGGAGAGAUUUCUAGUGUCCUUAUGCUUUUAGACUUACAGCUUUAUUGUCCAAAGGAGUAAUGAUGUGGUACAAGAUUAUUAAUUACACUUUUAUUAUUUAGUGAUAUGACUAGUUAGUAAGUAAUUAUUUCCAUUUCUAUUUGCCUUAUUAUUUUUCUUCUAUGUGCUCUAAAAGUGAGAUAUAAACAUCCAACAUUAACUUAGUGUUUAUUAUUUUAAAGAUGGUUUUAGUGCAAUGUUUGACAUGAGAAUAUUAUAUAAACUAGCAUCAAGUGAUUUUUACUGACAUUUAUGCAUGAGGUUACUACUUUAUUCAAAUAAGGAUAUUAAGAGCUAGACUUCAAAUCCCAUUUAAAUUCUGAUUUUGUUUAGUAUAAUUUUUUGAGCCAGAUAACUUCAUGUAUUUUAAAGGAUUCUAAAUGAACAGUCAGAUAUUAAAGUCAGAAACUGGUUCAAAUGCCUUGUCAAAAGUCUUUGAGAUUAUUUAUAGAAAUAUUUAGUGAUGUAAUUUUAGGAUCUUGGUAAAUUUCAUAUUGCUUUGAUUACAUUUUAAAAAGAUUUAGUGCCCAAAAUAGCUAAAAAUUUAAGCUAAUGUAUACUUUAAGAGAGAUACCUUAUAUUACAAUAACUGAAAAUUUUUUUAUGAGAUGUCUUCUGUAAAAACACAUAGAUCACUCGAGGAAAAUGUCAGCAAGAUAAAGACACACUAUUAAUAUAAACAGUUAAAUGUUCUGAUCUAAAUGUGGUACACUCAGGAUAAAAUUAGAACCAAAAGUUAAACCAAAUAUAGCAAGUAACUUUAAAAAUAUGUAACCUAGAGGUUAACGUAAGCUAUUCUGAAAUGAGCAUAUGAAAUGUACAGAAUGCAUAAAGCUAAAGGUGAGUGUUACAGGCAUUUAAAAAAUUUACUUUGCUUCUCUCAAAGGAAAAAAAAAUGGAGUUCAGUAUAAUCUUUUCCAUAAUAGGAAAUAAAGCUUUACAGGCAAAAGUGUAGUGAGUCUGAUGCAGAAAACUUACACCUGUAUCUUUUCAUCAACUGAGGUAAGAAUCUAUAGCCAGCAAAAAAAUCAGCUUGAGUUUUGUCAUUGACCAAAUCAGGACAAUUUUCCUGACAUGAAAAGCUUUCUAAUGAAUGCUAAAUGGAACUGGAAGCCAGAAUUUGAUUCAAGCCUCCGUUCUGCCAGUGAUGAUGUGACCCUGAGUACAUAGUUCACCUUCCUGGGCCUUAGUUCCUUUGUGUGUAAAGUGGGGGUGACAAUUUGUUCCCUUGUCAAACAUGCUGAGUUCUGAGAAUUAAGUGAAAAAUCUAGUACACAUUUGUAAUAUGAAUAUAUGGAGAUAUCUAAAGUCAUUUUGUAGAUUAUAAAGCCCUAACUGCAAGUCAAUUAUUUAUUGUUCUAUCCCAAGCUCACAGUCUUAUCUGAGAAUCUUUUUUUUUUUUUUUAUUUAAAGGAUGAUGCUUGGUUAAAAUAUUUUGCU